CUCUGGCUCUACCCAGCAGGGCCAGACGACGGGCAAUGCCUCCUGCCGACUCCAACAUUAAUGUGCAAGUUCUAGAUUAUUUAUCUAGAGCACGGCAGGAGGAUCAUCAUGACAUGUUUGCCCGUAGUCUGGCCCAUUAUAUGCGUCAGCUACAUCCAGAUCGACUCCUGCGAACCUGAA